CAGGUCUUAAUUAAUACAAGCAGGGUUUCAUGGGAGAGGGAUGGAGCGCCGAAGGUUCCAGCCAAGAGAAAAAAUACAAGCAGCAGCAACAGGUAAAAUAUCAAGUGGAUUAUGUGGAUGGAUGGAACCGCUCUGGAAUUAUUUUUCUCACAGUCAUGUUUUCAAAAGUAUAGGACACUCAGAGACACUUUCACACACGUCCUCCCAAGAGAUUUUCAAGGGUCCUGUCCCUCGACUUUGACAAAGCACAAUUGGAGGAUGAAGGGAGAUGAAUCUCAGAAAGUGGGACAUGAUGGCAGAUGCUAUGUGUAUAAAUGAGCAAACAUCUUUGCUGUCCUAGUAUCAAAAACGACUCUUCUGCUACACUCAAUGAUUUAAUCAUCUUGUUGUGUGUCACUCCACUAAAUUUGCACCAGUUGCAUAAAACUGUCACUUUUUUCCAGGGUUUGGAUUCGGCAGGCGAUCAGACAUUUAAAAUAUUACUAAGGCGAAACAGUGAAAAGACAGAGACCAGACUGACUCAGAAAUGACUCUGUAACAUCACAAUUAUCAGGGUAUAUUUGAGCGGACUAAUUAAGACGCCCUCAGAAUCCCAUUAAAAACAAACAAAAAGAAAAGAACUGAAUAGAGUUGUUUUCAUUCAAAAAAUAAACCCAAAAUUCUUCUGGGGGCACCGACGGGCCCGAGCAUUGUCACACUGGUACCUCUGUGGACCGCCUCCCCAGCACACUGCCACCAUUUUGCACAGGAGGAGUUUUGAGAACACCUUAAAAAGUGGGCGAAAACCUCAAAAUGUGGGCGUGGCCUUUGUGUCAAAAAGGCUUUUUUUUCAUGUUGAGGUCAAACAUAAGUGUCCUCUGUUUCACAGGCCUGAGUCACAGACAGGGACGGGGUUUAAUUUUUAAAACUUUGUUCUCGGAAACUGGCCAAGUCUUGCUGUGCGUGAUUCGGUGUCCAAACACCGGACUUUAAGAUGGAAAUUGAACGGGAUGAAUUGGUUGAUAGGAAGAAAAACUCAAUGGAUGAAGAAAAGAUGAAACUAUCCUAUCGCAUAAAGAAACGGUAUAGAGCUGUAAAAGUGUUGUUUAUUUCAUCCUGUGGGCCUCUGGAUAAACGUUUUAUCGAUUGUUUUUGAUUCGGAACACAUCAACAGGGAGACGACCUGAAAGUAAUAAGCCGAAAGGGAGCAGGUUGCCAUCUACAAACUAGGACAAGACAUACUCUAGUUAAAUUUUAAAACUAAUCUGUAGCUGCAGCUCCACUUAACUGUGCAUGCAAACCUACUGAGUGUCAGUGAGUGCAAAUUCAGAGCCAGCCAUUGGACGGAAACAAGCUUCAGUGACCGUUUCAGUGUUUCCAGUCUAACUGGCUCAAACUUGUGAAACAUAUCUAUCUUGCAGACAUGAGAAAGGUAUCAAUAUUUUCAUUCUACCCUGGGAAAAGAAGUGAACAAGGAUAUUACCCAAAACUCUACUUACAAACUCAAAGGUUUUACCAUCUGCAGAGAAUCAGAGAAAAUGGAAAAUAAGAGAAGUAGGGUAUGGCGCAAUCCAAUAAGAGGCCACAAAUAUGCGGACGGUGCUUUUCAAACUCUGUUCUCAUUAUAUUCAGUAAUACAGAAGGGAAAUAAGACACCCACAAAUCAAAUUUUAACUCACAGUCAGCUUUUUUUGUAAGAUUAACACGCCAAAAAGACUGAUGAAGACCCACAUCUGGCUGAACACGAUGUGUGCGAGCCAGUUUUCCUGCAGGUCAGCGUAUUAGUUUUCGUUUUUAAUGAAGUCAGGAGUUCGGUGAAAUGUGGAAGAAUUAAAAUAGGUCAUGCACAAAAAGUAACUGCGUAUAAAGAGAAGCAAAGAUGGAUGUUUCUGGAAUCAAUAAAAGCAGCAGAGGAGAUGAACAAUGAGCAGAAGUAUUGAUGGAUUUCCUCUGAGGGUUCCUGCUGUAAAUCUCAGGUGGAAAGGCCGACAGGUUUAGUGCAGCCCGGCCCACCGAUUCAAGGUUCUUGUAAUAAUUUGUUGAUCUGACUGAAAGUUUUAUUCAGAGAUGAUGAAACAAUCCCUGACUGCAGAGUAUUCCUGUAAAGAUUUAUACCCUCUAAUCUGAAAGCCAUAUUUCUGUUUCCUUUCACUGUGUGCCCUCAAGUUUUGUUUUUUUUACGAUCUCUCUGGACUUGGUAUUUCCCCACUUUGGAUUUAUUUUUUCCCUCAUUUUUUUCCUUCUUAAAUCUCAUGGCAACCGUUCAAGUUUAGAGUAACUGAAAAACAGGAUUUUAAAUGAGAAGAAAAGGAUGACAUUGUUUUAGUUUCAGGCUGAUUAUGAGUUCAUGUGCGUGUCGUUAGUUUUACUGUAAACUCAGACAUAAACAGCUCUCACCACUGGGAGAGUCUGAGGGCCGAGAUGUGGUCUGUCUGUGGUUUAAUACUGUAGGAAAAGAGAGGGAAGAAUAGAAAUUAAAAUGGCAGCAGGGAAGAUCAGACAAUUACUAAAUAUAAAUUCUUCUUUUACGAGCCUGUUAAUGGACUCGCUGAAAAGGGCAAUAAAUAAUCACAGGUUAUGACUUUACCCUUUAACGGAGGUUUCAAACACCCCUGGCCGAGCAGUCAGAGUGCUCUCUGUGUACAGAGGUUAUGCCUCAGGGGAUCAGCCUAGGUUUCCUAAAUGCCGCUGCCCACUCGCUUCCCCCAAAUCCCUGCUCUAUCCACUGUCUAUCCCCUAAAUAAAGACACAAAAUCAAAUAUAAAAAGAAAGAAGAAAUAUUGAUUUGAGUCUUAGCCGUCGUUGGGAGUGUGGGUUUUAUCAGUUUCAUCACCUCCAGUACCACCACACUGUUUUUACGGGUUUAUCCAAGAUUGGCUGAGAGAUCUGACAUGAACUGACCUGACCUUUCAGAGAUUUAAGAGUAAAACCUUCUACUCUUCACACCGACCGGUACUUUUCCCCUGAACCUGAGAAUGUCAGUGAUUUUCCAAAUCUGCUGUUUGCUUCACUAGAUUCCCUUUAUUAGAUUGUGAAUGUCGUACUGAAGCGUAAUAUAAGUAAUCCCAAGAUAUUCACAUUGUGUGAGUGUGUGUGUGUGUGUGUUUGUGUGUGUGUGUUUUUGCCAGGCGUUGAUCACUGAGAUGUGGAUCGAUUUCAAUCUGGGAGACAGAGUCGACCCUGUGAAGGCAAACAGCCGGGUCAAAACGUCACAUGACCCUGACAACCUGAAUCAGGGAGGCAGAGUAAGACGUGCCAACAACAACUUUUAUACACACACACACGCGCACACACACAAACAGCACCUUCCUCAAGUAUCUGACAGGACCCCCACAGCGGGCCACCCACUUUAAGAGUCCAGACUCUUUAAAUUCUCACCAACAGAUACACUUUCCUGAGUAUUCUUAUAUAUAUAUAUAUAUUUACAUUAGAGCUGGGACUGGAUUAAAACAUUUAAUCUAAUUAUUAUUAUUAAUCACGAUUAAUAAUUAUUAAUUGCAUAUAAAUGUUUGAUCUGAGAACAGUGAGAAUCAUUUUUACAGUCGAGUGCUAUCCAGUGAGGCAGAGAGUUUAAUUUUUUUGAUGUGGACUUGCUCAUCUUAGCUCUGAAUCCACUCAUCUGGUCGAGUGUGGGUUGGGUGUGGGUCGCUGUACUCGGAGUCUGACUAAAGUUUGCUUCCACGCUUGCUGCAACAUGUUUAACAUUUAGGUGAUACCAGAGGCUUGACGUGCUGCGGUGAUAUGCAAAUUCUUUUUUGCAUAGUUUGACAAAUUUUAUAUCCAGGCUUCCAUUCCCCUUUAAAAAAAAACAAAAACAAAAACAAAAUUGCCCUUAGAUGCCAGAGCCGACCAAAGCACAUUAAUCCGCGACUGCGUUCAUUUUUCCACGCGCUGGGUGGGACUGGAAUCACUGCUGCACGCCGGUAUUAGCGAUAUACCUGAAACUCGUCUGGUGAGAAACAUACCACGGUGCAAAAAUACAAUAGGUGCGAUUAAUAUGCGUUGAUAUUUUUGACAAGAUAAUAUUACUGUAAUUAAUUAAUCGCAAUUAACGCAUUAAAGUCCCGGCCCUAAUUAAUUUGUAUAUACUGUAGUUCCUGCAUAUAUGGUAGAAUAAUGUACAUCCAAUUAGAGCUCUCUAAUUCAAUGUGUAGAAAUCAAAUCAAACUGCUAUUUUAUGUUUUAUAUGAGUAUAUGAUCUAACGUCUUGCUCAUUUUUCUAAUUAUUUUCAUAGUGAUUUUUUUUUACACAAAGUUAAAAUCAAGUGACGACUUUCUGUAACUUUUAAACACGUUAACAGCCAAGUAAAAAUAAAUUAAAAAACAGGUUUAAGUCUCAUUUUUACUCCUCAUGUCUAUCAGGGUUUAAUGUUUGGCUGUAUAAAGGUUAAGCAUAAUGAAGUGUACUUAGGGGUGUGGCUGGUUUGACUGACAGGUCGUUGCAGUGUAGCUGUGGAAAUCUCUCUUUGCUGGUUUGUUACUCAACUGUAAGCUAACACUGAUUUAGAACCAGAAUGACUAAAACAAGCACCUAUCAUGCAAAAUAUCUUGCAUGCAUGUAAUAAAAAAAAAAAUCAGGUGUGUAUUGAUUUGACUGGCUGUGGGUGAUAGGUCCAUUUAAAUAACUGACUUUGAUUCCUUCUGUACUUUUAAUUAAGGUCAAUGCUCCAUCAUCUUCACUCGUUUGUCCCCAGCGAUCAUCUUUCUAACACCUCUUGAACUAAUGGUAAAAAAAAGUCCAUGUGUAGAGUAAAUAGGAGUGUGUGAAAGUGUGAAUGACAGACUGCAGGAGUGAGGGCAGAGAAUAACAAACUUGACAUUUUAUUGGUCGCUGUUAAUAACGAAGGCUCCCACCGCUGUCAGUCCCGUCACGCUUCAACUGCAGCUCAGAAUUUCACUUUACUGCAGAGAGGCUCCCCUUCCCACACACAGGAGGUCACAGGUCUCUAGAUCUUUCUGUUAAACACCAAAACCACUUCCAUCUCUUUCUGUCAUGAUUAGAUAAUUACAGUUACUAUUUAAAAAUCAACGUCUAAAGAAAAGAUUUCCUUUAAUUGAGGCCACGCCUUGAGGUCAAGUAUUUACGAGAUCUCUGCCAAAGACUGUAAACUGACCAGAAAAGCCUGUCUUACUCUGCUGAUGAUUUACAAAAGAUCCGACUGUAUUGUUUGUACUUGCAAGGUUGCCAAAACACAACACACUGACACAUUAAGUUCACAGUCAUCACAGUUGUAUAACUCAUUCACUUGAUUCACAUCUGAUCAAUCUGAUGUCUGCAAAACACACAAUGAGAAUAAGGCUGAGGUAGGGGUGGGAGAUAAAUUAUUCACGAUUUAUCAUCAGAAAUAUACUCCAAGGUGAAUAUUUGCCAUCUCACGAUAAAUGCAAUAAAUGCAAGUUGAUGACUUGAGUGUGAGUGAUGGAAUCGCAGCCGUAAGCCACACAUAGCAGAAUAACGAACAAACAUGGCCUAAGGUGGUGGAGAAGAUGUUUCUGACCAGCUCGUUCCUUCAAGAUUGGGGCUUAGACGAGUACAAUCAGGGUCUGCCUGACAUCGGACAGUGGAUCUGCUGCUGCUGUUCACUCUGUGCAAUAAGAGUUUUCGAUAAAUGUUGAAAAUGUUUUCACAUUUCAGAUUAGUUUUCUCCGUAACCUAUCACUUAAAGUUAUGGUUACAUACCUUGUUUUACUAUGCUAACUGAUGUUCUCAAGACAGAAUGAGUUGAAAACAUGGAUUGGAAUAAUAACUGCUCAAUACAUCGUGAUAUUGAUUUAAAGCCAUAUCACCAAGCCCUAAUCCGAGUUGAUUCUACUAUGCUAAUCAAUUUCAAAUGUUGUCUUCACAUCACAUGUAUUUUAUUAUCACUUAAUUGAAUGCCUGAAUAUUUUUCGUUUACUUGCUUAGUUUGCAAAAAUAACUUGCUCUGUUUGAGUGCAAAGAGUGAAAGAGACAUCUCCAAGCAGAUCAGUAAAACUGUCAUCAUUUCUAGUACGAAGAGUUCACCAAGACCUUUAGUAAGAGAUCUGGAAUAAUAUGACAGAGGUCUUUGAAUGCUUUGACUCUGGUCUGGAGAUGACCAGCGUGUUUGUUCUGAUUAUGUUUAUUUAGACAAAGAUAAUAGCAGAGGACGGAAAAAUGCUCUGAGUCAUUUGUUCCAUCACAGCUAGCCCAUUGUCCAGACUCCAUUCCUUUUUCUUUCUCUCUCUCUCUUCAUUUGAACUUCACCAAGAUUAAUAUCAAGAACUGCUGUUUCCUGAGGUGCAACAAUGGAAAAACAAAUAUUUUCUCAUUUUUCCCUCUUCUGCAGGCCUGCGCGAGGCAUAUUUCAACACUUCAUUCAUCAAACUAUAACUGAGACCCCCUUUCAUUAUAGACACUGCACACCAAUAAUUCCAGACUUAUUUCUUGCCAAGUCAGCAGGCAGCUUUGAUUAAGUGCAUGCACUUAAGUGUUUUUUUCCUGGUCUGUCUCUUAGGAGGGGUCAUCCUUCAUAACAAAUAGCCGUUUGUCUGCACCACCUCUCCGAAGCUCUCAGAAAAUUGGCUGUGGUGGAAACACUCACCCUCAGCCUCACAGGCACCACACUUAUGGUUAGAAAUUUACUCAGAGACACAGUUCAUAUUUUAAAUAGGAUUUUCUUUGUGCAGGGUUAAUAUAGGGCUGCACAAUUAAUCGAUUUUAAAUCGUAAUCAGAUUUUCCUCUCUAUCAUGUCUUGUGCCUCCAGGCCACCAUAGGCUCCCCCUUCCUGCGGGAGCGCCCCCCAGUUCUCACACACACCAGUGUCAACAAACAUGGCGUUUGCAAAAGAAGCCGAAAGUUUCGUGGCUAAAUAGAACAAGAGCAAGUCAGUCAUGUGGAAUUGGUACCGCUUCGUAGCAUCGGACGAAGAGCAAACCACUCCACGCUGCAAAGUCUGUCUGAAGGCGGUAUCAACCCGUCCACACGGAAAAGAAUUCAGGAGUAAACGCAGAAGUUUUUUGUCUGCGCUUCAUCCACAUGGAAACAGCGUUUCGGUGACUGUAAAUGGCACUUUUUGAAAACGGGUCAGAGAGUGUAUAAAUCCGUAAACGACAGCCAUUUCAUCUCUGUGUGGAUGUCUAUCUGUAUCUCUGGAAACGAUCAUGUGACACACAGCGCAACUCUUUUAUGGCGCCUGUGCGUGUCUGACCAAAACAGUCUUUUUACGCAUGCUCUGUACUCUUCUUCUGUCUUUUGUGCAUUUCCUCCACAGCAUUACAGCGCCACUAACUAAAUUGGCUUAUGAACUACAUCGUUUUCAGUGUCGUUUAGAGAGAUGAUAGAAAAACUUGUUAUUAAAGUGAAGUUUGGUGAACAGAAUGAAAAACCUAAAUCGAAAAUCACGUUUUCAGAGACAAAAAUCUGGAUUUUAUUUUUGGCCAAAACCGUGCAGCCCAAGGUUGAUGCAUACUAAAUACUAGAAUUUUUUAAAAUGGUAAUACUGAUGAUCUGAGGGAGCAGGUUUUAGGAGCUCUGUGAGAAACUUCCUGGUUGUGCUGAUGUGAGUUUUUAGACAUUAAAAAGAACUGCUUAAAAGUAGUCACUCUCUAUCUUCAUUGUCCUGUUAAAAAACAUCAAUAUUAUUCAGAUUCAACCUUUUAAACUGCGAUCCGAUGGUCCCUCUGCUCUUUUAAGUGGACGGAUAGCAUCCAUGAUAUCCAAAAGAAUACCAAAUUUUGAUUUGCUAGACUAAAAGUACGGUUUUCCACUUUGCCUUAGACCACAUUAAAUGCGCGUACUUUUCUGGAUCAUGUUAAUACAGAACUUUCUCAUGAACUCUCAAGUAAAGUUGCCUUCUCCUAACACUAAAACAUCUUCAUUUGUGCAGGACUUAAACCAUAAACUACCACGAGCUGUCCCCACUGCUGCUUACAGCUGAGAGGUCAGGGCCGUACCACCUGCAGGGUCGACCUUUGGAGUAUUUGUGGCUCACCCUAAAAAAAGGAUCAAAGGUGAGGAGGGUACUCUCUGUUGACAUGCGAGGAAAUAUCAGGAAAAAAAACAACUUUCUAUUUUUAUCUCUGAAAACAAACUGGGUCUGCAGGACAGGAGGGGACGCUUUGAGAAACAUUAAUCUGUCAGAGCCGUCAACCUCCAUCCGAACGAUCAUCUGAUCUCAUCUGCUGCACGGCUGCGAAAACAUAAGAGCCUCCAAAAUUAGGCUGAACACAGUAAAUUGGCGACAUUACUGUGAUGGCCCCUAAAAUAAGAUGAUUUUGGAGAAAUAGUCGGGGCUAAAAUUACUCAGCAAUAACAAUGAAGUUCCCAUUAGUGUCUGAACAGUUUUGUUUGGAUUUGUACGUUUCAUGGCUGCAGACUGAGACCUGGCUCAGCUGUGCGGAGACUGAUAUCACUCCUAUGUCUGUCGUGGCCAAGAGACAAAUUAGAUAAGCUUAGAAUACACUGGAAAUAGAACCGACGUCACACUGAUGUCAGGGUUUUAACUGGAGGUAAAAAGGAGUGAGACUGGAGGUAGAAGGCAAUACAGCGGUCAAAUAAUGACAUCUUUUAGUGCUGUUGUUUCUGGAAUAGAAAUGUGUACCUGAAAGUGUCUGUGCAGAAGGAACAGCUCACCUGGCUCAGUUUAAGUAAACCUAAAAGUGGAUCAUAGCAAUCAUACAUCAGUAGACAACAACAUUUUAUGUACCUGUCUGAUGUUUUCAUAGUCUCCUUCAACAGGUCGGAGCCAAAACAGCAUUAUUCUGACACGGAGUACGCUAAACCCCUGAAGGUGUGGGGUGGUAACUGGCACCAAGACAUUAGCAGUAGAUCCUUUUGAGGUGGAGCUUCAUGCAUCAGACUUGAUUGUCUGGUAUAUCCUACAGAUUUUACCAAUUGUAUUAAGCUCAUUAGCUGCGUUUACAUGGGCUCAAAUAAUCUGAAUAAAAAUGCGUCAUGUUAACACGUCGAUCAGAAGAUUCUGAUCCAAUUCAGCUCAGAAAUUGUAUUCCAGUUGAGAGUGGUGGUUUAUGCCGAUCGUUAUUCCGAAACCCGUCCACUAUAUUCCGAUCAUGAAUCUCUAACCGGACUCGAUCUUCACUCUUUAGCCUUUUGUCUUAUUUAUUGAGGUCAGUAGAAAAGGUUUCAUUAUUAAGACUCUGGCAUAAAACACAAGUGCAGGUGCCGUGUCUGCUCCUACACUAACAUAACAAGGCGUACAUACAGCAAAAUGAUGUUACAUAUGCACGCACAGUGCAACCUUUGACAGAACAGUAAAAUAAGUACGCAAGGGCGCCAUCUAGUGACAACAUUCAACAGAGGGGAAAAUCCUGAAUUGGAUGGAGUGAGCCACUACCCUGUUUGUUGGUUUGUUGACGGCACAGGUGUAAAUACAACUCUUCUUCUUCUGUGGUUGUUUUAGUGAAAUUAGACAUCUCUACUCAUGUCUGAAUGCUUCUAAACUGAAUAAAGCUUGAUGCAUGUAUACGAACGUCAUGAUCAGAUUAUUCGAUUUGAUGCACCAAUAUAAACAGUAGAUUCAGAUUAUCUGAUCCCUCAAAUUUUACAUCAGAUCAAGAAAUGUUGCCCAUGAGUGAGACCUGUCAACUCUGUAAUAUCCCUGCAGACUAAUUAGAGUUAUUAGAGGCCGGGCCAUAGAUGAAACACUGUUAUUUACAUGAGGUUUUAAAGUACACAAAAAUAUGUACAAAGAGGAGUUUUUCCCUUGUCACUCUUAAGAGUUGUUGAUUUUUAUAUCGUAUUUAAAUUUAGAAGCACUGAUUGAAGUAAAGACAGAAAAUCAGCCCUCAAGAAAGAACACUGUGUUUCUCCGGAACAGCAGGAAUGCUUUGAACAUCACAGGUUGAUAUAAAAAUAUCAGAGACUUUGAUGAGAGUAAAAACAAGUCAGCAGCAGCAGCAGUAAAACGUGCCUCAAACACUGACAUGGAUGAAUGUUAUCUGUCACCAUCUCCUGCUGUGUUCUUUACUUCUAUACAGAGAUGUGUAAAUACAUCGCAGCCUCGGGCCGUCACAGUAGGUCAGGUUUCUUUCAUCUCUGCUGAAGAAUGAAACAAGUAUGUUUUCUCCCACAUGGAGCAUAAAAUGAAAAGACCACCGGUGUUGUUGAACUUGGCUUCCUUUCAACAUGUCACAGGCUUGAACUAAAUAUGACAUGCCAACCAUCACUUUCAAAUUAGCUUCUUCGUUUGGUUCCAGGAGGAGAAAAUGAUUGUCACAUUUGUGUGCGUUUUACUUGCCAACAGGAUACUGACAAGUACACACAGCCGAGGAGACAAAAGGCAGUUAAACAUUUUCUGAGAAGAUGUUUUUACAAGUAGAUCUGCUCUAGCAGACGUUUUGUGGCUUUGGUUUGUAGAUGACAGAUGGUUUCGAACAUUUUGAUUACAGCACCUUGUAACAGAUUGUGAACACCCACAUAUUUACACUUUGCGUGAGUCUACAUUUCAUUAUACGCACGAAAAGGUUUGAUUCCUUUUGGGGAAACUUCUGAACAACAUAUGUCUGUUUCCCGCUGGACAAAGUUUGAAGCUUUGAAAAAUGAGUGCUUUUUAAUACAUACAUGACCCUGUUUCCAUAAUUUAAGGUGGAUGGCAUGAAGUGGAUUGGGGUGUCUCCAACUAUGUUUUGCUAGUUAAGCAGCGCACAAUCUGGGCAUGAAGGGGGUUGGAUUAAGUCUCUUGAGAUGUGUCUCGUUUCAGGAAAGACACAUGGGACCUGCAGGUAUGUUACUCUUUACACAGCAGCUUUUCUACCUCAAUAGAAAAGACCAGAACAGACAGAUUAACAUCCAAAGUGGUAUUCUGUUUAUAUUUGUAAAGUGUUUUUUGCUGGCUGUGUUUGGUUUUGGAUCCUGUUCAGUAUUUAUAAGUAAUAAUGGACAUAAUGGCACUGAAAGUUUGAAGACUGAAAACAUAUGAAGCUCUUCUUGAGAGGCUGUGCAUCAAAAACUUGAUCAGGGGUUUAUGGUCCAUGUGGGUUGAGGUGAAGCCGGUCGUUUUUCUGUGUGUAACAAGCACAAGAACAUGCAUUGCAAAGUAUUUUACUUAUUGGACUAUCUCCAUAAUGCACCUUCUAAAACUGCAGGAACGCACUGCACCAGGGACUUGACACGUCAGAUCAGGCAUACAGCAGUAAGUUAGUUUACAGUAUGGAUUUUUGCUUCUCCAAGAUCAAAAUAAUAACGCACACCACUAAAAAAGAACGACAAACUACAGUGGAAAAGUGAAAUGUAACUUGUUACAGCUUCAGUUUUUCUCUUUUACUGUGUGUGUUCUCUCUUUUUACAGCUCUUCCACCCGCUCACUUAUUAUUCUUCCCUCUGUGUCCUUUAUCACCGUCUCCCCUCUAAUCUCCUCCAUCUUCUCCUGCAGUCUGAAUCAACAGACCUGGUAUAUUUUUCUGACUCAGCGCGGUCUCUGCUGCGCUCACUUCAGUCAGACUGUGUGUCCCGAGGUUGUUGAUGCUGACGGGUAAUGGCUUCUCCAGACUGAUCCUUAUUCUCAAUGUGCUGUGAAACCACCAGCCAAAGACAACAACGGGCCCCACAAGCCUCCCGAAUAAUCACUUUGAUCAUAGUGAGGGUUUCUCUUAAUGGUGACCAAAAGCUGUGGCGCAGAAAAGGUUUGUUACUUGGCUGACGGUUUGAGCCUUGAACGAGCAGACUGUCCAUCUGAGGAGGAUCGAGAAGAUUGCAACCCUGUCUGUUUUUUUUCCAGAAACACUGUUUUCUGUGUGUACAUGAUUAUUCUAGGGAUGCUUGUACAGAUUGAAAACCAAUUGGAAGCAGCCCAGUGAGCCGCAGUUUUCCUCUGCUGGCCACUUAACCUCUCAUCUGGAGAAAAUGGAGGUUACUUAUUCCACCCCUGGAGUCUCUCUGGGCUUCAUAAAUUACUGGGACUUUGUAAAACUUGAUGUAAGUAGUACGGCAACUUUCCAGCUUGCUCCGUCCCCUACGUCUAGAUUUUCUCCUUCUUCCAGGAAACUUUAACUUAAACCUCACUCCUCCAGACUUUGUUCCAGUUGAUGCUCUGAACUCACACUUGUGGUUGCACUUCAUUCAAGGUUUAUAAACUUCUCUGACAGAUGAGGUGGUUAUAAAAGGUUAUUGUCUUUUCUUACUACUGUGCAUGUGCGUGCUCAGUGUGCAACUUCGCAAUGAGUCUGAAAGACGCAGAGAAGCAGAAAAACCUUCCUCAAAACUGACCCUCCAUGAUAAAGAAAUAAGCCAAACUAUUUCUCCAACAGUUUCUUUGUGCUCGAAUCAAACAGAAGACUAAGAACCAGGAAUUACUUCUGCAGGUCCAAAUACAUAUCCUGGUCUAGUUAGAGGAAUGCACAGUCAGACUUAAACAAAGAAACAAACGACAUUUGCAUUCGUUUGGAAUCUCUGGACUUUCAAGCAACCCCCUUCCCAAAAGCACUUUUCCAACUAUCCAAGGGCGUCUCAGUGUACUGUCUUGUGUUGUAGUACUCCAAAUCGGUCUUGGUCUCAAGAACAUUUUUUGAGGGUCUUGGUGUCGUAUCGGAAUCAAAGUCAUCUUCACUCGGUCUUGUCUCGGUCUCGGUCCUCUCUGGUCUCGGUAAUGUCUUGGUCCCGGUUGGUGCGGUCUUGACUACAACACUAGUGCUAUCUUAACAAUAAGGAUUUCAUGUAAGCUGGUUCUGGUAAGUCAUAUUCACUCGCCAUAUUUUGGGACACACCGAGGUCCAAAUCUUUCUGUGCGGUAACUUGUUCGCCCGUGCAAACAAUGAAGCUAAAUGACACGAACCCCAUCAACAACCACGGAUGGGUUCACCCAAAGUGGGUAGACAGUAAAUACAGAGGAAGCCUCUUUGGGGCUGCAGGGAACCGCAAAAACAGCAAUAAGGAGGAUAUGCUAGCUUGCUUUUAGAACAACGUUUUAGCAUUGCUGUAUACAGAAUGGACGCUGUCUGCCUCCUAGCUGAGUGAAGCCACCGCAAAAACAGCACCCUCUGGUGACAGGCUGCAGUAUAGGUCAUAAAUCCCGCCUCCUCAAGCAAUCUCUAUGGAGCUGUGGACAACGCCUACAACGGUACUCUGCAAGUGGUGGUUCCAGGAAGUGGAACAACUCCCAGGGAUACCGAGAGCAAUUCGGCUUCAAAUUUGUCUAACAACGGAGGGCGGAGCCAAGUUGUCCAUAGUAUAUACAGUCUAUGCUCAGUGCACUUAAGAGACCAAUUCAUUUACAUCAACAACUACCACACAAGAGCAGGUGUGCCCAUAAGCUCCUGGCGUUUCCACUUGAUUUCCAUUUCACUAACAUUUAUUUCCAAGAAGGAAAUCUGUGAAAUAAUCUCUAUGAGCAGAACACCUCCAAGUAUAAGAGGGUGUCAAUCUUUGUUUUUUAAGAGAAACUUUGCUGAAGGGUAGGUGUCAUAUUUAGACUGCCACUGGAUGUGUGAGUUUGUCACAACAUUUACGAAAUAUGCUUUUUAGACAACGUGGUCAACUUCUGUUUGGCAGCCCCUUCAGUGCAUGAAGUAGAGGAAGAGACUUAAACCAAAAAGAGAUCACUUAUAACACUGAUUGGUCAAGCUUUAAGUGCUUCACACAGUCCUCCAAGAAACACGCUCAAUCCAGUUUUAUUUACCUAACUUGCAGCUGACCUGAGAACUGUUUAUCAGCAGUGUGUAUUUCUUGGAUUUCCCCAAUAAAAGAAGCAUAGCGAGAUGGGGAUCAGCCUGAGACUGCAUGCACUGUGAAGUUACAAAGAGCCCCGCAGUGAGGGGUGAACAUCUUGAGCCAGCUCCGCACUCGUGUGAAUGGUUAGAUUACUUUUGGCGGCUCUUUGUGCGCAGUGACGGAAAUCAAAACAGCGGAGAGAAAACAAGUGAGAGACUUAACAAAGAAAGUGCUGAGUAAGUCCAAGGAGCGAUGGGUUGUGAAAGAUGAGAGAUGAUUUCUUUCGUAGUGGAUUAUUUGUUUGAAUAACAUCUGCAGAGAAGCGAUGAAGAGGCUCCUCAUAGUACCUUUUUUUUUCAUCUGAGGAACUUUCCAACAAGGCUACACCUGCUUCAUCUGUCUUCAUCUGCCACCACCACUCUAACACUCAACAUAUACAGACCCUUUCCAAAAAAAUUAGAAUAUCAUGGAAAGUUUAUUUAAUUCAAUGUGACCUGAGGAAACCUGUGCAGGUGCUUUGAGUUAAGUAGAUGAAUAGUGUGUGACACAGUUUAAAACAUUCAUACCCUGCAAAAUUUGGGCUGGUUUCGUUGCGGUAUUCUGAUUUUUUGAAUUCCUGUUUUCGUUGGAUUUAUGAGCUGGAAGCCCAAAUUAUGUAAAAAUUAACAAAUAAAUACUUGAAAUCGUUCAAAUUGUGAAUCUAUAAUCUAUGAAAGUUUAACUUUUUGAGUGGAAUUAUGGAAACAAACUUUUCAAUGAUAUUCUAAUUUUUUUAAAAGGGUCUGUACUCAACUUAAAUUCAACCGCUGAGUCUGUUUCCACAGUUUCUAAUUUCACUCGUCACAGUUUUAUCACCAUCUCUGCUGUUAAAAUGAGUUUUCAGCCAACAGGUCGUAGCUUGGUGUUACUGAUAGAUGUCUAGCUUUCUCACAAGCAUUGCAAUCCGCUACCGCACUCUUGCUCCGCGAUUGUUCCGCGAUAAUUGCACUUUAACUAAAAAAAACGUGUUUAAUCCAAUUACGCGAUUAAUCAAUGGAAUAUUCGGUAGGAUGCUCGAUUACUAACUUAUUCAAUAGCUGCAGCCCUGGUUGAAAGGUGUGUCAACCGUGAAGCUCUGAGAAUAAGAGCUGAACGAGGAUGGUGAGGAAGAAGCCAAGCCGGACCUUCCAGAUUAGGGAGUCCAGACUGGGACACCAUAAGUCCUCCAUCCUUAAAGCGGGAUAUUUUACAUAUGAAGUCCUUGUGAAGCACAGAGUCAAACUUUUGCUUCUGAGGGUGUGCGGUUUGUUUUCUCAGCCACUCCCACCCAAUGAGGUCAUCACUCUGCGUCAGGUUGGCGGUGCGCUGGGUGCCGUCCCGCAGCUGUGGAGCAUCAGGCUGGAAAUCCCCUCAUCCUCCGUCCUGGGCCUCUGAGUGUGGACUCAGGACCAUGAGUGUACAGUUUGCAGGGAGGUGUGUGAGUGUGUGUGUGUGUGAAGUUGGUCUGCCUGUUGAGCUUGGCUGACUGUGUGUGUAUUUAGGUGCUGGCUUUUGUGGUGUAUUUGUGACUGUUUUACUUUUCAGUGUUUGUAUGAGUGUAUGUUUCUGUGAGUGUGUGUGUGUCUGCUUGUUUGUGUGUGUGAAUUCUUUCAGCACAUGUGGGCCCGGCAUGUGGUUGUGUGUGGCCCGCCGAGAGGAGGCGUGUGGCAUGAAAUGUGUGUGUUCCAUGGAGGCCCCAAAAAAAAGUACAAAGCCGGUUUGUGUUAACUUUCAUAACAGUGUUAUCGUUUUCCACCUCCCUGGUGUGUGUGUGCGUGUGUAUCAGUGUGUGUGUGUGUGUGUGUGUGUGUGUGCGUGAAUAGGGAGUAGACUGAGAGAAAAUGAGGACACAGCCUGCUUGUACAAUAAACUUCUCCAACUUUCUUUUUCCUCUUACUUCUUUCCCUCCAUCAUCCGUAUCUUUCUGGAUUUCACCCGGACGCCCCCGCACACGAUCAUACACUGGUUCAAUGUUUACUCUUGGACCCCUCUCGCCUCCUAAUCCCUUUUUCCUCUUAGACUCCUAUUCCUUCACUUUUGCCCUCCUUUUUUUCCUCCUUUCCCUCCAAAAUUUAAAAACCUCCCCGGGAAAGUUUUUCACUCCCCUAAAGCGCAGACACCCCCACUUUCCCCUCAGCACUUUCACACAGAAACUCUCCGAACAGCAUAAUUCACCAUUUCUGUCCAGUUAGUGUGUUUCUUUGUCUCUUAGUCUCUUCUUUCACUGUUGCACAGAGAAGUGUCUGAAUGGUGGAGAGUGAAUGUUUAAGAGACGUGACCUGAGUCAGUCAAGUCUACUUUGAUGCAAAUUUAGAAAUGGUUUAAGUUGGGUGAACUCACUGGGUUUUUCCAACAAAACAGAGAACUUUUUCUCUCUGAAGAAACACAUCAUAACAGUUGGUACAUAAGAGAUGAUGCAAAAUAAAGUCCCUCUUUUUCGCACUGGGGACAUUUAAGGGGAGUAGGGCUGCACGAUUCAUCGAUUUUAAAUCCUAAUCCGAUUAUUUGAUUAUGACGCUUUUAAAAAAUUAAAAUCGCCAAAUUGAUUUUCCUCUCUAUCAUGUCUUGUGCCUCCAGGCCAUCGUAGGCUCCACCCUUCCUGCGGGAGCGCUCCCCAGUUUCCACACACACCAGUGUAAACAAACAUGGCGUUUGCAGAAGAAGGCGAUAAUUUCGUGGCUAAAUAGGACAAGAACAAGUCAGUAGUGUGGAAUUGGUACAGCUUCGCAUUUUCGGACAAAGAGCAAAUCACUCCCCGCUGCAAAGUCUGUCUGAAGGCGGUAUCAACCCGUCCACACGGAAACGAAUUCAGGAGUAAACACAAAAGUUUUUUGUCGGGUUUGUGUUUCAUCCGCAUGGAAACGGUAUUUCAGGUGACUGUUAACAGUACUUUUUGAAAACAGGUAAUUAAGUGCAUAAAUCGUAAACGACGACCAUUUCAUCUCCGUGUGGAUGCCUAUCUGGAUCUCUGAAAAUGAUCAUGUGACACACAGCGUAACUCUUUUAUGGGGCCUGCACGUGUCCGGCCAAAACAACCUUUAUACACAUGCUCUGUACUCUUCUUCUGUCUUUUGUGCAUUUCCUCAGCAGCGUUACAGCGCCACUUACUGGCUUGGCAUAUCAUUUUCAGUGGUUUCGUUUUGAGAGAUGACAGAAAAACCUUUUUGAAAGUGAAGUUUGGUGAAAUUGUCACUAAAUAAAUAAUCGAAAUCGAAUUUUCAGUUUUCUGAGAAAAAAAAAUCUGGAUUUUAUUUUUGGCCAAAAUCGUGCAGCCCUAAUAGGAAGACAUUGGGGUGAAAGUGCAGAUAUGUUUAUAAACUGGAACAACAGCCUCUUAUGACCUCACAGUCUUAAUGCUACAAAUGAACGUGAAAAUCUGAAUGAAUAAUAAAACUGAGACACUGAGGCCCGAUGGCUCCACUGGCUAUUCUCUCAUCUGUGCCUGCAAACUGUCAUAUUUCCUGACUCUUACUGAACAAAUAGAAGCAAGAUAAUCUCCUGCAUAGAGUUUGUUUUCAUAUAUCUUUAAAAUAUGUUUGCUAUUGAAAAUAAAUGACCCAUUUUAGAGAUUUGACCAAUCAAAAUCAAGCAUUGAACUCCGUCUACAUAAAUCAUAAGAAUAGAUGAGUAAUAAAUCCGAGUAAACAACACUUCUUAGUAAUAUACUGUAUGAAUGUAAACCCCAAAAUCCUUGAGAGACCCUCCUCUUUAUACGCUUCUAAAUAUAGAUUGGAGGCGGUAAUAGGAGCUUUUUUUCCUGUUGUGCUUGGAAUUGAUUUAUAUUUCUUGUUUUGUUUGUUUGGUUUUCAGGCGGGGGGAUCUUCCCACGAUCUAUCUGGGAUGGAGCCAGGAAGACGGAGAACCACGUCAGUCGCAGAGGGAAGACAAGUGUCGCCCUUCACCCCUAAUCCCACCCACACACACACACACAACCAUAACUGAGCACACUCAAAGACAAACACUUGUAAAUCCUUUUGACACUGACAGUAAGCCGAUGGCUUCACACGUUCAUCUCUGAGCUGAGUGCUAACUGGCUCUGACUCAUCACCCCCUCACCCUGACACACAACCAUAACUAGUGAUAUCAUACUGAUAUUUAAAAAGGGUUGAGGACAUGCCAAGUCCAAUAAAAACAAAUGAUGCAAUAGAGGGAACAAUGAGCAACAAAAUCCAAACUAUAGACCGCAAACUGACAAUGAAGUGAC